GGUUAGACGAAGAGCCUAAGUAAAAUUCGAAGUUAAAAUAAGAUAAUUUAAAGUUUAUUUAAUAGUAGUUAAGGACAAUUUUCUGAGUGAAAUCUAUAAAAUUGUUAAAGAAUACUAAAUAACAACUUUUAGAUCUUAAAAUCUCAUACAAUAAACCAGGAUUAGAUACCCUGUUAUUAUGAGUAAUAAAUUGAUUGGGGUAGUAAAAGUAAAUUCUUCAAACCCAAAGAUUUUGGCGGUAUUUUAUCCUAAUAGAGGAGCUUGUCCCGUAAUCGAUAAUCCUCGUUAUAUCUUUCUUUCUUUUGUUUAGUUUGUAUACCUCCGUUGUCAGAUUACUUUAUAAGAAUGUUUUCCUAAUAAAUAAUUUUAUGACUUCAGGUCAAGGUGCAGCUUAUAAGAAAGAGGAGAUGAGCUACAAUAACUUAAAUUUAUACGGAUUGUAUUUGUAAUAAUAUUUGAAGGUGGAUUUAUUAGUAAAUUUUUCUGAGAAUGUAAAAUUGAAUGAGGCAAUAAAAUAUGCACAUAUCGCCCGUCACUCUCCUC
rnacentral:rRNA from 1 species